GACGAACGCUGGCGGCGUGCUUAACACAUGCAAGUCGAACGGAAAGGCCCUGCUUUUGUGGGGUGCUCGAGUGGCGAACGGGUGAGUAACACGUGAGUAACCUGCCCUUGACUUUGGGAUAACUUCAGGAAACUGGGGCUAAUACCGGAUAGGAGCUCCUGCUGCAUGGUGGGGGUUGGAAAGUUUCGGCGGUUUGGGAUGGACUCUCGGCUUAUCAGCUUGUUGGUGGGGUAGUGGCUUACCAAGGCUUUGACGGGUAGCCGGCCUGAGAGGGUGACCGGCCACAUUGGGACUGAGAUACGGCCCAGACUCCUACGGGAGGCAGCAGUGGGGAAUAUUGCACAAUGGGCGGAAGCCUGAUGCAGCAACGCCGCGUGCGGGAUGACGGCCUUCGGGUUGUAAACCGCUUUCGCCUGUGACGAAGCGUGAGUGACGGUAAUGGGUAAAGAAGCACCGGCUAACUACGUG
rnacentral:rRNA from 1 species